GCGGUCAUGGCGGAACUGGCAGACGCGCUAGGUUCAGGUCCUAGUGAUAGCAAUAUCGUGGAGGUUCAAGUCCUCUUGACCGCACCA
rnacentral:tRNA from 1 species